GACCAGGCCCAAAAGUGUGCGGCUAGAAAGGAAGCAUUCAACAAAGAGCCUAUGGGGACGAUGCGUAUCCAAACCUUAGCACCAAUCACUUUGUAAUUUAUUUACCGUCACCAUAACAGAAGCGCCAUGAGGUGGCCGUCGGCUUCACACGGAGUCUGAUGAACUCGCUGUAAACAGAUGCUGGCAGGAGAGCCCAAGGUGACAUGGGAGUCCAGGGUUCCUACUGGAGGUCACAGGAAGAAAACAGAAGUACAGAGGUCUCCAGUUGGGACGUCUUAAAAGAGUCUUUAGUGAGGUAGGAGGGAGAAUACGGCCAGAGCUGGAUCAACCCGGAUGUGUAGACAGAUGGCCAUAUGAUGUCUUCAGACUUUGGAGAUUUGCCCAACACCCUGUCCUAAUGUUUCAUUUUUAUUCCAAAAGAUAAACGGAACAGUGCUGUCAACACUUGGAACAACUGAAGACAACAGGAUUCUGCUCUGAUAAGGAAGUGGGCACCAGCAAACACAGUCAAGAACUUAGCAUUUUCCUUCUUGUUCAGUUCUGUCAGAUUUCAAAGUCGAAACUCAUAAAUCUUUGAAUAGGAUAGUUUUUAGCUUUUGUUAGGGACAUCAGCAAGACAGCCUUUUUCAAGGCACCUACACAGCCUUCUGCCACCAUGCAAGAAGAAAUAUGCAAGGAGCACAAUAACAUUUUAAAUGUUUAGUGUUACAAAAUGAGGGAAAGAGAGCAGUUUGAAUUAACAUCUUCUGUGUGGUGUGAAGAUUGAAAUAGUAUUCAUCAACUAACUACUA